UCAUAUUCACGCACCAGCUCACAGAAACAAUACUAAUACACACACCAGUGAGAGAGAGAUAUAGACGCACACCCGCAGAGAGAAUCAUAGGAGAAAGAGAGAAUCGGGAGAGAGUGAAUAAAAAAGGGGUUGAAUAGUGGUCGGUUGGCGUGAACAGUAAACGUUGAACGGAGUAGGGGGAAGAACAGUUUUUCCCGGUGAGCUUGUCACUGGAAUAGUGCCUCAUCGUAGAGUCCGUCCACUCCUCCCUAAAACUCAAUCAAAACCAGCUUCAAACCCCCUAAAAUUAUGACGCUAGUGCCCGACUACUCCGCCGCCACCGCUGUUACUAUUUCGGCAAUGAAUUUUUCGCCUGGAAUGAGCCAAAUCGAUCAAAAUCGUCCCAAAAAUAUUGAGAAAAUAGUGAGUUCACCUUGGGUUUUCGACAGUUAAGUUAGAGGUCUGUUUGUGAUUUGGUAUUGGAAAAAAAAGGAACAAAGGGGAUAUAUCGAAGUUGGAGUUGUUCGUUUGGUGAGGCUCGAUCUGAGAUUAUGGACGCGAUCCAAUCGAAAGGAGCAACUUUAAUCGAAAGCAACAUUUGAGGUUCAAUUCUAUCUUCUCUAUUUUUUUUGUAGUUUUUAACAUAAUUAUGAAUGAUUUAUGUGUUUGGCAUGUUUGAAUCUUCGUUAUGUGUGGGUUGAUGUUGGAUUUGGAUAUGAAAACUUGAUCGGUGGAUUGUAUAUUGAAUUGGUUUAAUCGUGUUAAAAAAGUUGAGGCGCGAAUUGAAAAUUUACUAAAGUGAAUUAGGAUUAAUUUUGAUUUAUUGUUAUUUUGAUUCAUUGACGCCAUCGAUCAUGAUAGUGCCAUGAUAGGUCGAGUUAGGUAGGCAAAAGUAGGCUGGGUAGGCAAAGUUGAGGACCUGUGAUUGUUGAAAUGAUGAAAUAUUUGUGGAGUGGUUUUGAUUUAUGCACUGAGAUCUAUUGUAUUCAUUUGGCCGGGGAAUGCCCCGAGGGAUUUGUAUUGAUUCACCGGGGAAUGCCCCGACGUAUCAUGUAUUCGGAGGACGUCCGUGAUGAAGGCCCGAAGCAUCGGGUAAGGCAUUGGACAUAGUUUAGGAUUAGUGUAGGUUAGCGUAGGUUUAUUUUUCAGUACCUUUUUUAUCAUUUCGGGUUGUAAUAAUUGGACUGGACAUUAUUAUUUUGAUUUUUGGAUUGUUGUUUGAUGUUUGUUUAUGUGCUUUGUGUGGUUUAUAUAUUUGUGGUGUCUAAUUAGCCGAUACUCUCCACCAAGAGACCAUGGUCGAACCACGGGACCGAGGGGUGCCUAACACCUUCCCCUCGGUCAACAAAAUUCCUUAGUUGAAACCUCUGUUCGCGGAUCAGUUUUACAGAGUCAAAAUCGUUUUGAAAAGGAUUUUCCAAAGGUGACUUGGCACACCGGAUUAUGCCAAGUGGUGACUCUGAGUUUUGAAUAUAAAUAAUUCUUUUCGAAAUAAAUUUUUAUUUUUUGUCACUUUGAUAAUAAAAAUCCUUUCAAACUUAAAACGAAAUCUUUUUUGGGUAAAAAAAGGGUGUGACAGCUCUGGCGACUCUGCUGGGGACUUUUUUUUAGAAUUCAAGCUUAUUUUGGAGUUGUAUCGACUUAGUUUGGCACUAUAGGUAUAUAGACAUUUUGUUUGUGUUGUUUUGUGUUAUUGUUUAUCAUUGUUGAGUGCCUACGUGCUCUUUGUUUACAAUUUUUAUUUUAUGUGUUACCGUUUUAUAUCUGGCAUCAUGUGUAUAACCCGAGCCAUUCUUUCUGCAACAAGUCUAUAGUAUACGCUAUGUACACGACCUCUAGUUGAGUCACCUUUAUCUUAGGGGGGAGUCUUCGACUGGUAUGGAGUGGGUGGAAAGCUAAAACAACCACUAUCGACCAUAUGCUCUCCCGAACAGCCUUGUUAGUGAAUCCCAGCGUAGGUCAGCUUUUAGGUCAUGCUUAUCUGCAUCAUAUUGAGACCUAGCGGGACUCACUUGGUCUUUUGUAGGAGACUCACCUCUAAGGCAUCCCUACGUGCUAAAUGUUACAUCUUUGAGGGUAACGUGGUCAUUUGACGGACUAAUUUAAGGGAAAACAUGUGCUAGAGGUAAAGUGCGUAGACAAGAAAUCAUUUGAAAAAAAAAGGAGUUUCGUAGCUUUUAGUGUUCUUUAUGACUUUUGUUUCCCACAAUUCAAAAAUUCAAAAAGAUUUCUUUAUUUUCUGCACUCAUUUUUUUAAAAACCAAAACAUCAAAAAGAUUUCUCACUUUGUCUCCUUUAGCAUGCAUUCAUAAUUAGAAAUUUUCAAAAAAAAAAAAAAUUAGCAGUUUUUAUAAAAGAAAUUGAAAAAUGGUGAAAGAUUUGUACAUUUCAUAUAGUGAAAAUGUCAAAAAGAUUUUCCUUCAUAAUUGUUGGUGUCAGUUUAGCUGAAGUAUCUAAUUAAAAACCCAAAAAUAUUUUAUUCAUUUGUCUUUGGUUGUGUCUCUUAAGUUAGGGUCAAUUUGUUAGACUAUCGUUAAUUGUACAAUCUGGACGAACUACGCACCCGUGAUUCUGCUCUCUCCGGAGUGAGAUACAUAGGUAACCUAUUUUGGGUUGGGGAUCUUAUUUCAAAAAUUCAAAAAAAGAUUUUCUUCACUCUUCAUUUAGAGUAGGUGUUUCAUGUACAUCUUUAAAAGAAAACAACAAAAAAAUAUUUCCCUUUAAUAGGUUCAGGUUUCAUUUUCAUAUGAAAUUCAAAAUCAAAAAUCAAAAAAUAUUUUUUUCGGUAAUCAUAGAUUUCAUUUUGUACAGAAAUCUGAAAAAUUCAAAAAGAUUUUCUUCACUCUUCACUUAGAGUAGGUGUUUCAUAUACAUCUCUAAAAAACUACAAAAAGAUUUUUCUUUAAUAGUUUGAAGUUUCAUUUUCCUAUGAAAUUCAAAAUCGAAAACCCUAAAAGAUUUUUAUUUGGUAAUCAUGGGUUUCAUUUUGUAUAGGGAUGUUAAGACUAAAAAAUGCAAAAAAAGAUUUUCGUCAAUUCUUUUGACAAUUUGUUAUUUUCUUUUCUUCUUAAAGUUUCAAAAAGAAAACAAAGAGUUCAAUUGGCCGUUUUGGCACGACUUAACGAACUACGCACACCUGAUUCUCCUCUCUCGGUGGUGAGAUACGUAGGUGCCCUUCUUGGGUUCGGUGAUCUUUUCAAGAAAAAAAAGGGAGAGAGAGGUUUUGAAAAAUGUUGAACUCUAACAUAUUUGUUGCCUCUUGUUCAGUUAGUUUAAGGUGGUUGGUUUGUGGCUUACUGGUUGGUCCUCCAUAUCACACCAAAUCCAAGGAGGGGUUAGUUGUGUCCAACAAGGAUAUAGAAAGUGGCAUCAUGGAUGAAACAAAGAUUCAGGAAAUUGAGAGUUUAAAGAAAGAGAAUUUGAGACUGAGACAACAAGUGAUGGAAAUAUACCGAGCUUGGACCAGUGGGCUGCCUCCACCUCUGUUUCCCACUUUUGGCCCUGCAAAUACCUUGAGUCUUCCACCAAAAUCGUAAAGUCAGUUUCUGUCUUCUUAUCCACAAUGGCAUGCUCCUGUCCCUCAACAUCGUCCUCGACCCCCACGAAUUUACCAAGGAACCUCUAAAUCCAAGUUUCAUCUAAGGCUAGAGUUAGUGUUGUAAAACAUUUCAUAAGUGAUCUUUAUCGUGCAAUUUUGUAUUGCAUGCUAUGUACUAGCAUUUUCAAAAAUUGAUAUGACGAAGGCAUUUCAUUCUGCUUUCCAAAUAUUGUGUCAUCCUUUGUUUACCCCAUUUGGGCCUUAGUGUUAUUUUCUUUUAUACCCCUCUUUUGGAAUCAAGAUAAAGUCAACAAAAUCCAAAAAAAGUGUCGAAAAAGAAAAAAAAGAUGAGUGUCAAGAAAAAUAAAGUCAGAAAAGUCCCAAAGAUAAAAAGAGUCGACAAAAGAAAAAAAAUAGAAUCAAGUGAAAGAACAAGUUGCCAGAACUACGCAUGACUUGAUUCUCCUCUCUCGAGGGUGAGAUACGUAGGCUGCCUUACUCAGGGCUCGGUCCAACCAAAUAAAUAAUUUAGAAUUGCCCAGUCAAAAAUUGGGGCUUGAGUUAAUCCUCAUUGUUUGAGUCGAUUCCAAAAGUUGUAAGUCCUACCCCACUUUUAGUAUUGUUUGGGCCCCAUGCCAUCCUUUAUUUUCAACCCUAUCCAAAAGCCAAGUUACAAUCAAAGAAAGACCUUCAGAUCAAUCUUUGAGAAUGUUAAGGCUAAGUAUGCAAUGGAUGUGAUGACACAUUUUGAGAACUACUCGUCUUCCUCAGCAUAAAAAAUCAGGAGAGAAAUAAAAAUGAGAGAGUUUUAUUGGUGAAAACCCUCACGGGCACCAUAAGGAGAUGGUAAAUUAAGAAAGAUAAAAAUGAGAGAGUUUUAUUAGUGAAAACCCUCACAGACACCAUAAGGCGAUGGUGAGUUGAGAGAAAAAUGAGAGAGGCUUGUUUGAGAAAACCCUUCAAGGUGCCACUAGCCGAAUGAGGUCUCCGAAUGCAAUGGGUCUAAGUAAGAAACUCAGUUUCAGGGCCAUUAACUCAACAACAAUUGGUAGAAAGUUUGGAUGAAAAGAUCAGGCUGCUUAAUCCAAAAUGCACAGUAUAAUUAUUAGAGUUGACUGUCAUUUUUAGAUUAAUUUAUUGUUUCUUUGUUACAAAUGAGGAUAUUCAUUUUCUUUCCUUUCUUUUCUUUAUUUUUAUUUUAUCUUUCUUGAGUCAGUUAUCCAAAUAAAAAAAUUGUCUUUCUUUUUUUUCUUUUCUUGUCUUUGAGUCAAGUCCAUGUCAAAACAAGUGAGAAAAGAUUUUAAAACUGGCUAUCAGCUUCUUCAAUUGCACAAAGCAAGACAAAAGGGACAGCACAUGCAAAAGACAUGAUUGUGAGCCGAAAUAAGGCAUACAAAAAUUGUGUCAACAGACAAGUUUGGGAACUCAUGAAAAUACCAAGGUUCAAAGGGUUUAUAUGAUGAGCAUGACGAAGCAGAGAUAUCAUUUUAUUUCAGAGUCACUUUUAAUAAACUGAAUUUAGGUCAAUGAUGCAGCAAGUCAAUGAUAAAUGCUAAUGGUUGGAAGCAAGGUUAAAUGUGAUGGGGCAAGAGCGAUCGUCGCGAAAGCUAAAGCCACAAACCAGCCACCGUGUUUUAAACUCACAAGUUUUCUUUGAUGAAAUAGGAAACAUAUUACCUUCAAAGCAAGGACGUCAGAGCAUAAAUAUCAAGGCUUUCAAUGCCUCACGUUUAAAUAUGCACGAAGAAAUGUUGCUGCACAGGUUUGGUAAUCAAAUCAUUGUAAAAUUCAUCAUCUUAUAUCCCUCGGAGACACAUUUUCUUGUCCAGGGAUUUCAUUUUUCAUUUGCUGGGUGAUACACUUCUUAAAUUGAUCCUUCACUCCUAAAAGACGUACCUUUUAGUCGAGUCAUCCCCUUUGACCCCAAAAGACGUACCUUUUAGUAGAGUCAUUUCCUUUGAUUCCUAUAAGACAUACCUUUUACUCGAAUCAUUCCCGCUUGACUCCUAGAAGACGUACCUUUUAGUCGAGUCAUUCCCCUUAACCCCUAGAAGACGUACCUUUUAGUCGAUUCAUUCCUUUGAUUCCUAUAAGACGUACCUUUUAGUCGAGUCAUUCCUCUUGACCCCUAGAAGAAGUACCUUUUAGUAGAGUCAUUUCCUAUGAUUCCUAUAAGACGUACCUUUUAGUCGAGUCAUUCCUCUUGAGGCCUUGACCCCUAGAAGACGUACCUUUUAGUUGAGUCAUAUCCCUUGAUUCCUAUAAGAUGUACCUUUUAGUCGAGUCAUUCCCCUUGAGUCCUUGACCCCUAGAAGACGUACCUUUUAGUUGGGUCAUAUCCCUUGAUUCCUAUAAGACGUACCUUUUAGUCGAGUCAUUUCCUUUGAUUCCUAUAAGACGUACCUUUUACUUGAGUCAUCACCCCUUGAUUCCUAUAAGACGUACCUUCUAGUCGAGUCAUUCCCUUGAUUCCUAUAAGACGUACCUUUUAGUCGAGUCAAUUUCUUUGAUUCCUAUAAGACGUACCUUAUAGUCGAGUCAUUCUCCUUGAUUCCUAUAAUGAUGUGACUUUCACAAAAGUCCUUUGAUAAUAAACUGGGGCAAAAUUUAAUUCUUAUUUUUGGAACUUUACUUUUCUGGCAAACAAAAUUUCUCUUUAUGAAAAACUUUGUUUGGGAUAAUUUUCUUGUUAGUUUUGAUAUGAUUUCAGAAGCCCGCCUGAAGAACAGGGUGAUGAGAUAGAAAGUCAGGAGCCCACCUGAAGAACAGGGAUGAUGAAAUGGCAAGUCAGGAACCCGCCUGAAGAAUAGGGUGAUUAAAUAGUAAGUCAGGAGCCCUCCUGAAGAAUAGGGCGGAUAAAUGGAAAAUCUAGAACAAGGUGAAAAAAAUCUGAAAAAACAAGCAAAAAGGUGAAGCAAUUGAAAGUCAAGCAACAAGUUGAAUAAAUUGCAAAUCAGGAGCCCACCUGAAGAAUAGUGUGAUGAAACUUAAGUCAAGAGUCCAAAAGAAGAUGCAUAGAUAGAAUUUCUGUAAUUUUAUUUAUGUUUUUAACUCGUAAUUUUCAUUUUGAUGUAAUGAUAGAGCUGUGGACCGAAACCUUGAUGGAACCUCACUCGACUCUCCAACUCGGUAUAGUCCUUCUCUUUCAAAUAUUUUGAAAUACUGGUCCCUUGAUUCCUCCAUAACUUCGGUAGAUAGGUUGUCCUAAGUCAGGA
rnacentral:lncRNA from 1 species